rnacentral:tRNA from 1 species
UCCUCUGUAGUUCAGUCGGUAGAACGGCGGACUGUUAAUCCGUAUGUCACUGGUUCGAGUCCAGUCGACUGUUAAUCCGUAUGUCACUGGUUCGAGUCCAGUCAGAGGAGCCA